AAUCCUACCACCAUUGCAGUGGUAUGUGGGAAUGAUCUUGGGAGUCAGAGGGAAGAACCACAGCCAGGAGAAUGAUUGGAUAAGAGAUGGCUUGGCUAACAAAAAGAAGGAGUGAGGAGGGAAUGGAGAUUUUGCGGUAUUCUUCCUCUGCCACGCCCACCAAGCCACACCCACAGAACCGGUAAUAAAAAAUUUUGAAUUUCACAACUGGGUAAGGUUUUUUUCUCCAAUGGAAUUAAUAGAAAUCUGUAGGUCAAGAAAGUUCUAGAUAUGUACCACUAUCUCUUUUGCCCUCAACAAGUUACUAAUUGAUGGAUGGUGGUUCAUUUCAAGACUUGUGCCAUAUCUUUAAUGUAGGAGUCUGUGUGCUAAACUGUCCCUGUAUAAUUGCACCCUUCAGGACUUAGUUAUAAGCAAUAGAUGGUUGUGGCAUACAUUUAAAACCAGAAAAGACAGGUUUAUAAUGCAUGCUAGCUACUAGAGCUUCCAAUACCCCACAUUUCACCUUUAUUUUAGCCUUACAAAAAUAAAAUUGUUUCUUGGUCAAAUGGAAGGAAGAACUGUUCUAGAUGUCUGUAACCACAGCUUCCAUUUUUGUUUCUGUAGAAUGACUCUUGAGGAAGUACAUACAGAAUUUCAGCCUAAAUUGUCACCAAUCAGUGGCUUGAUUUUAUUCCUAGCAUUAAUAUUACAUCACAAUGUCUUGGGUUUUUGAUUAUCAUAUAUGAGCCAACCUAUACAUUGUAAGUGUACAUUCUAUUACUGAUUUAUUCAGUAAGUUAUAGAGAAACAUUUUUCUGGCUUUGUUUUAUGUGUGAAUGCAGUCAUUUCUUUUCACCUUAAUCUUAUUUCAUAGUAGGGAAGGAAUUCUUUUAAAUAAAGGGCAGAAAUAUAGCAACAUAAAUAUUUCAUUACAAUUAUUGUAAAGUAUCUUUUCCUUUCAUUUCUAAUAGCAGUUGAGACUAUAUCUCUGAUAUAUUUUUCUUAUAUAGAAAAACCAGGAAAUAUUACGCACUUUAAAGACAAUAUCUAUACUUAUGAAAACAUUACAGAAUGUAUUCACUUUUUUGUCUUUUUAUCACCUUGCUAAUUUUUGCAACAUUUAAUUACUGCAUUGCUACUUUUUCUCUAUCACCAUUUUGUUUUCUAUCAUCAUUAACACCACAUCUAUUAUUAUUCAAAGAAAUGAGGAGGAUAAUAGACGCCAUGACAAAAUGCAAAUGAAAAGCAUUUUACAGUAUGGAAUGGUGCUAUAUACAUGAUGUCUUGCUUGUUCUUUCAUUGGGUCGGAAGAUUAUUUUACAUUGAGUAUAAUGUAACACAAUGGGUGAAGUGUGUGUGUGUUUGUGUGUAUGUGUGUGUGUGUGCUAUUAGCAGACAAAUAUGAUGAAGAUGGCUUCAGAUAAUGAAAUAACAAGAUUUUCAAAGCUCUCAAUUUUUCAAAAAUGCAGUUCCACAUGAAAAUGAUUUGAGAUCUCUGCAGAAGAUUCAGGAUUUCUCUGGCUUCAUUAAAUAAAGAAAUUCAUCACAUCUAUAUUUUAACACUGGACAUAUUGAAGGAUAUUUUUGAACAAUGGAUUCAGAAAUUAAUUUCAAGAGCAUCUGUCUUUAUAGAUAGACUGUGUGCAAAAGAUGUUAUGAAAGAGGAACAAGUUAUAACUGACAAGACUGAGACUGAUCUGAAAAUGGGUUAUAAUAGGCCACAAGAAUGAUACAGAAAAAUUUGCUUCAUUGGACAUAUAAAGGAAGCUAGAUGACAUCUUAAUUAUUAAAAGAGAACUACAAAUAAGAAACCAAGUGGGUGACCUCGAUAAUUUCCCCAUGUUGGAUUUUAGAAAGAGGCUUGUUAAAGCUUUAAAGAAUAUGAUGAGAAGGACAAAGAAAAAAAUGUAAAGAAACCAAGCUGAAGGGACUAAAGAUUAAGUUGCUUAAAAGUAAAAGGAAGGAAUAUGAGGUUGGUUAGUUUGAU